rnacentral:rRNA from 1 species
UUAAGCGACUAAGCGUACACGGUGGAUGCCCUGGCAGUCAGAGGCGAUGAAGGACGUGCUAAUCUGCGAUAAGCGUCGGUAAGGUGAUAUGAACCGUUAUAACCGGCGAUUUCCGAAUGGGGAAACCCAGUGUGAUUCGUCACACUAUCAUUAACUGAAUCCAUAGGUUAAUGAGGCGAACCGGGGGAACUGAAACAUCUAAGUACCCCGAGGAAAAGAAAUCAACCGAGAUUCCCCCAGUAGCGGCGAGCGAACGGGGAGGAGCCCAGAGCCUGAAUCAGUGUGUGUGUUAGUGGAAGCGUCUGGAAAGGCGCGCGAUACAGGGUGACAGCCCCGUACACAAAAAUGCACAUGCUGUGAGCUCGAUGAGUAGGGCGGGACACGUGGUAUCCUGUCUGAAUAUGGGGGGACCAUCCUCCAAGGCUAAAUACUCCUGACUGACCGAUAGUGAACCAGUACCGUGAGGGAAAGGCGAAAAGAACCCCGGCGAGGGGAGUGAAAAAGAACCUGAAACCGUGUACGUACAAGCAGUGGGAGCCUCUUUAUGGGGUGACUGCGUACCUUUUGUAUAAUGGGUCAGCGACUUAUAUUCUGUAGCAAGGUUAACCGAAUAGGGGAGCCGAAGGGAAACCGAGUCUUAACUGGGCGUUAAGUUGCAGGGUAUAGACCCGAAACCCGGUGAUCUAGCCAUGGGCAGGUUGAAGGUUGGGUAACACUAACUGGAGGACCGAACCGACUAAUGUUGAAAAAUUAGCGGAUGACUUGUGGCUGGGGGUGAAAGGCCAAUCAAACCGGGAGAUAGCUGGUUCUCCCCGAAAGCUAUUUAGGUAGCGCCUCGUGAAUUCAUCUCCGGGGGUAGAGCACUGUUUCGGCAAGGGGGUCAUCCCGACUUACCAACCCGAUGCAAACUGCGAAUACCGGAGAAUGUUAUCACGGGAGACACACGGCGGGUGCUAACGUCCGUCGUGAAGAGGGAAACAACCCAGACCGCCAGCUAAGGUCCCAAAGUCAUGGUUAAGUGGGAAACGAUGUGGGAAGGCCCAGACAGCCAGGAUGUUGGCUUAGAAGCAGCCAUCAUUUAAAGAAAGCGUAAUAGCUCACUGGUCGAGUCGGCCUGCGCGGAAGAUGUAACGGGGCUAAACCAUGCACCGAAGCUGCGGCAGCGACACUAUGUGUUGUUGGGUAGGGGAGCGUUCUGUAAGCCUGCGAAGGUGUACUGUGAGGUAUGCUGGAGGUAUCAGAAGUGCGAAUGCUGACAUAAGUAACGAUAAAGCGGGUGAAAAGCCCGCUCGCCGGAAGACCAAGGGUUCCUGUCCAACGUUAAUCGGGGCAGGGUGAGUCGACCCCUAAGGCGAGGCCGAAAGGCGUAGUCGAUGGGAAACAGGUUAAUAUUCCUGUACUUGGUGUUACUGCGAAGGGGGGACGGAGAAGGCUAUGUUGGCCGGGCGACGGUUGUCCCGGUUUAAGCGUGUAGGCUGGUUUUCCAGGCAAAUCCGGAAAAUCAAGGCUGAGGCGUGAUGACGAGGCACUACGGUGCUGAAGCAACAAAUGCCCUGCUUCCAGGAAAAGCCUCUAAGCAUCAGGUAACAUCAAAUCGUACCCCAAACCGACACAGGUGGUCAGGUAGAGAAUACCAAGGCGCUUGAGAGAACUCGGGUGAAGGAACUAGGCAAAAUGGUGCCGUAACUUCGGGAGAAGGCACGCUGAUAUGUAGGUGAAGUCCCUCGCGGAUGGAGCUGAAAUCAGUCGAAGAUACCAGCUGGCUGCAACUGUUUAUUAAAAACACAGCACUGUGCAAACACGAAAGUGGACGUAUACGGUGUGACGCCUGCCCGGUGCCGGAAGGUUAAUUGAUGGGGUUAGCGCAAGCGAAGCUCUUGAUCGAAGCCCCGGUAAACGGCGGCCGUAACUAUAACGGUCCUAAGGUAGCGAAAUUCCUUGUCGGGUAAGUUCCGACCUGCACGAAUGGCGUAAUGAUGGCCAGGCUGUCUCCACCCGAGACUCAGUGAAAUUGAACUCGCUGUGAAGAUGCAGUGUACCCGCGGCAAGACGGAAAGACCCCGUGAACCUUUACUAUAGCUUGACACUGAACAUUGAGCCUUGAUGUGUAGGAUAGGUGGGAGGCUUUGAAGUGUGGACGCCAGUCUGCAUGGAGCCGACCUUGAAAUACCACCCUUUAAUGUUUGAUGUUCUAACGUUGGCCCCUGAUCGGGGUUGCGGACAGUGUCUGGUGGGUAGUUUGACUGGGGCGGUCUCCUCCUAAAGAGUAACGGAGGAGCACGAAGGUUGGCUAAUCCUGGUCGGACAUCAGGAGGUUAGUGCAAUGGCAUAAGCCAGCUUGACUGCGAGCGUGACGGCGCGAGCAGGUGCGAAAGCAGGUCAUAGUGAUCCGGUGGUUCUGAAUGGAAGGGCCAUCGCUCAACGGAUAAAAGGUACUCCGGGGAUAACAGGCUGAUACCGCCCAAGAGUUCAUAUCGACGGCGGUGUUUGGCACCUCGAUGUCGGCUCAUCACAUCCUGGGGCUGAAGUAGGUCCCAAGGGUAUGGCUGUUCGCCAUUUAAAGUGGUACGCGAGCUGGGUUUAGAACGUCGUGAGACAGUUCGGUCCCUAUCUGCCGUGGGCGCUGGAGAACUGAGGGGGGCUGCUCCUAGUACGAGAGGACCGGAGUGGACGCAUCACUGGUGUUCGGGUUGUCAUGCCAAUGGCACUGCCCGGUAGCUAAAUGCGGAAGAGAUAAGUGCUGAAAGCAUCUAAGCACGAAACUUGCCCCGAGAUGAGUUCUCCCUGACUCCCUGAGAGUCCUGAAGGAACGUUGAAGACGACGACGUUGAUAGGCCGGGUGUGUAAGCGCAGCGAUGCGUUGAGCUAACCGGUACUAAUGAACCGUGAGGCUUAACCU